AUACGUAGGUGGCAAGCGUUGUCCGGAGUUUAUUGGGCGUAAAGCGAGCGCAGGCGGUUUUUUAAGUCUGAUGUGAAAGCCUUCGGCUCAACCGAAGAAGUGCAUCGGAAACUGGGAAACUUGAGUGCAGAAGAGGACAGUGGAACUCCAUGUGUAGCGGUGAAAUGCGUAGAUAUAUGGAAGAACACCAGUGGCGAAGGCGGCUGCCUGGUCUGUAACUGACGCUGAGGCUCGAAAGUACGGGUAGC
rnacentral:rRNA from 1 species